CUGGAUAUGUGACGUGACCGCAUGGUCUGCGUCUGGAAAGAAUUUCGGUUGGGGAUGGGCUCGCGGCCUAUCAGCUUGUUGGUGAGGUAAUGGCUCACCAAGGCGUCGACGGGUAGCCGGCCUGAGAGGGUGACCGGCCACACUGGGACUGAGACACGGCCCAGACUCCUACGGGAGGCAGCAGUGGGGAAUAUUGCACAAUGGGCGCAAGCUUGAUGCAGCAACGCCGCGUGAGGGACGACGGCCUUCGGGUUGUAAACCUCUUUUAGCAGGGAAGAAGCGAAAGUGGCGGUACCUGCAGAAAAAGCGCCGGCUAACUACGUGCCAGCAGCCGCGGUAAUACGUAGGGCGCAAGCGUUAUCCGGAAUUAUUGGGCGUAAAGAGCUCGUAGGCGGUUUGUCGCGUCUGCUGUGAAAUCCGGAGGCUCAACCUCCGGCCUGCAGUGGGUACGGGCAGACUAGAGUGCGGUAGGGGAGAUUGGAAUUCCUGGUGUAGCGGUGGAAUGCGCAGAUAUCAGGAGGAACACCGAUGGCGAAGGCAGAUCUCUGGGCCGUAACUGACGCUGAGGAGCGAAAGGGUGGGGAGCAAACAGGCUUAGAUACCCUGGUAGUCCACCCCGUAAACGUUGGGAACUAGUUGUGGGGUCUACGGAUUCCGUGACGCAGCUAACGCAUUAAGUUCCCCGCCUUGGGAGUACGGCCGCAAGGCUAAAACUCAAAGGAAUUGACGGGGACCCGCACAAGCGGCGGAGCAUGCGGAUUAAUUCGAUGCAACGCGAAGAACCUUACCAAGGCUUGACAUAUACGAGAACGGGCCAGAAAUGGUCAACUCUUUGGACACUCGUAAACAGGUGGUGCAUGGUUGUCGUCAGCUCGUGUCGUGAGAUGUUGGGUUAAGUCCCGCAACGAGCGCAACCCUCGUUCUAUGUUGCCAGCACGUAAUGGUGGGAACUCAUGGGAUACUGCCGGGGUCAACUCGGAGGAAGGUGGGGAUGACGUCAAAUCAUCAUGCCCCUUAUGUCUUGGGCUUCACGCAUGCUACAAUGGCCGGUACAAAGGGCUGCAAUACCGCGAGGUGGAGCGAAUCCCAAAAAGCCGGUCCCAGUUCGGAUUGAGGUCUGCAACUCGACCUCAUGAAGUCGGAGUCGCUAGUAAUCGCAGAUCAGCAACGCUGCGGUGAAUACGUUCCCGGGUCUUGUACACACCGCCCGUCAAGUCAUGAAAGUCGGUAACACCUGAAGCCGGUGGCCUAACCCUUGUGGAGGGAGCCGUCGAAGGUGGGAUCGGUAAUUAGGACUAAGUCGAAACAAGGUA
rnacentral:rRNA from 1 species